UACCUGACCUACAACGCGAUUGCUUUCCGCAUCCUGCUGAGCGAGUGCAGGAAUAAGCCGAAUCAGUUCCUUCGAAUAAUAAACAGCAUCAGCAGAGAUGCCAGUAUUAACCCGGCGUUCUUGAAGGAAUUUAGAAUGCAGCAAAAAGUGGGACUCCCUUCCUUAAGUCUGGAGAAAAACGGAGGGCCAUGCAUAAAUCUUCUCUCCAGAAAAGGGAGAGAGCACCGAAGAAAGCUAAGACCGAAAAUUCAACCCCGAGAUUCCUUGACCUUAUUGCCUCCUGUAACUAACUUCAUGGGACUCUUCAAAACCUCCAAAAAGUCCGCUGUGUCUCAUAACAUUUUUUCCUUUGCAUCUGCAACGUCCUCAGAUGUCAUCCAAGUGUCAAGACCAAGAAUAGUAUUGCUGAGCGAACUUGGGAAACACGUUCAGAAAGAUAACGUUGAGCCUGCAGAAGGUUAAUAAACGCAUUGCAGUGUGAA